GUCCCUUGGGGGACGUCCAAUAAAAUUAGAAUGAUACAGAGAAGAUUAGCAUUGGCCCCCAACAACGACAUGCGCAAAUCGAAAAAUGGUUUAAUUUUAU
rnacentral:snRNA from 2 species